CCCAUGCAGCCCAAAAGUCCAGUCUCACUCCCACCAUGUCCCCGCAAACAGCACUGAAUUUAUUUCCAGGCAACCAGUGAGCAAGGCUGAGAACUUGUCCCAGGUUACGAGACUCCCAGAAUUGCAACCAAUUUCUGAAGAUACAUGAAACAUACAAAACAGCAGCUAUAAAAGGCAGAAUGAAAGAAGGAAAUAAGCAAAGGUCUCCAGUGCGGCCCUAGAGUUCUACAUUUCUAAAAAGCUUCUGGGCGAGGCCAGUCCUGCUAGGCCAGACACUGAGUCAUGAGGGUCUAAACCAGCCACAUCCUUAAGAGUUAGGUUUGUCAAAGAAGUAAAUAUGCAAUAGAAAGGAGGAUGGGAGAACAGAGGGGAGAGACAGCACUUUGGAGGUAGGUACCUUCCUCAGGGCAGUUCAGCCGGGAGAAGUUUAUUUGGCAACGUCCCGUCGGGAGGCCCAAGCUAAAUCAGCAGAGCAGGUGAUUGCUGAUGGAAGAGUUUUGACAGUGGCCAACAGCGGAAAGGACCUGGAAUCAGGACAGGAAAUAGAGAUGCCUAAUUCUCUAGGAAAAAGAGGCUGCAAGAGAGAGUUGGGCUCAAGCCUGGGAAAAGAAGGAAGAAGAAUUUGUGAAUUUCAGAGCUAAAGCCUGGAAGAGAGGCCUGAGAUUUAGCCUGGGUGGUUAGACACUGGAGGUGGGGGCCCUCAGGACAGUGUGAUCCUUCAGCCCUAGACUGCUUCAGGGGCCAUGUGAAAUGGAACUUGCAGUUUCCCUCAACAGCAAAGAGCUUGUUGCUCAAGAAAUUUCCUCACACUGUAGUAGAAAGGGAUGUGCUCAGAGGUGCUAUGUGACCUGGGCAGGAGGAGGACCAAGUGAGGAAGAGGACCUGAGUGGCAGGCAUUAGGGAAAAGCUGGAGCGUGAAGGAGCCUCUACGGAGUCAAGAACCACCCUGUGCUCUGUCUCACACACUUCUCUCAGGGCUUAUACUAGGCACUGUGAACCUGCUUGUUAAAUGGGUAUAUGAAUAAAGGAAUUCCUACAUUGUA
rnacentral:lncRNA from 1 species